UACGGGGGAGGCAAGCGUUACUCGGAAUUACUGGGCGUAAAGCGUGCGUAGGCGGUUCGUUAAGUCCGUUGUGAAAGCCCUGGGCUCAACCUGGGAAUGGCAGUGGAUACUGGCGAGCUAGAGUGUGAUAGAGGAUGGUGGAAUUCCCGGUGUAGCGGUGAAAUGCGUAGAGAUCGGGAGGAACACCAGUGGCGAAGGCGGCCAUCUGGAUCAACACUGACGCUGAGGCACGAAAGCGUGGGGAGCAAACAGG
rnacentral:rRNA from 1 species